rnacentral:tRNA from 1 species
GAGGGUAGAGCUCAGGGGUAGAGUGCUGUGCUUAGCGUACAAGAGGUCCUGGGUUCAAUCCCCAGUACCUCCA